GAUAAACGCUGGCGGCGUGCCUAACCCAUGCAAGUCGAGCGAUUUGUAGCAAUACAAAGAGCGGCGAAAGGGUGAGUAACACGUGGAAAUCUGCCUCGUCGGAGGGAAUAACCCCGCGAAAGUGGGGCUAAUACCCAAAAGCAUCCGCAAGGAUGAGAGUCGAAAGGCCUGACGAGAGGAAUUCGCGUCCCAUCAGCUAGUUGGUGAGGUAAGGGCUUACCAAGGCUACGACGGGUAGGGGGUCUGAGAGGACGUCCCCCCACACUGGAACUGAAACACGGUCCAGACGCCUACGGGUGGCAGCAGGGAGGAAUAUUGGACAAUGGGGGAAACCCCGAUCCAGCAACGCCGCGUGAGGGAUGAAGGCCUUCGGGUCGUAAACCUCUUUUAAGGGAGACGAG
rnacentral:rRNA from 1 species